rnacentral:rRNA from 1 species
AGAGUUUGAUCAUGGCUCAGGAUGAACGCUGGCGGCGUGCUUAACACAUGCAAGUCGAACGGUGAAAGAGGAGCUUGCUCCUCUGGAUCAGUGGCGAACGGGUGAGUAACACGUGAGCAAUCUGCCCUGGACUCUGGGAUAAGCGUUGGAAACGACGUCUAAUACCGGAUACGCGACGCGAAGGCAUCUUCAGCGUCGGGAAAGAACUUCGGUCCAGGAUGAGCUCGCGGCCUAUCAGCUAGUUGGUGAGGUAACGGCCCACCAAGGCGACGACGGGUAGCCGGCCUGAGAGGGUGACCGGCCACACUGGGACUGAGACACGGCCCAGACUCCUACGGGAGGCAGCAGUGGGGAAUAUUGCACAAUGGGCGCAAGCCUGAUGCAGCAACGCCGCGUGAGGGACGACGGCCUUCGGGUUGUAAACCUCUUUUAGUAGGGAAGAAGCGAAAGUGACGGUACCUGCAGAAAAAGCACCGGCUAACUACGUGCCAGCAGCCGCGGUAAUACGUAGGGUGCAAGCGUUAUCCGGAAUUAUUGGGCGUAAAGAGCUCGUAGGCGGUUUGUCGCGUCUGCUGUGAAAACUGGAGGCUCAACCUCCAGCCUGCAGUGGGUACGGGCAAACUAGAGUGCGGUAGGGGAGAUUGGAAUUCCUGGUGUAGCGGUGGAAUGCGCAGAUAUCAGGAGGAACACCGAUGGCGAAGGCAGAUCUCUGGGCCGUAACUGACGCUGAGGAGCGAAAGCAUGGGGAGCGAACAGGAUUAGAUACCCUAGUAGUCC